GACGGAUCCUGCCUCAGCCUCUUGAGUAGCUGGGAUUACAGAUGUCCACUACCGUAUCGGCUAAUUUUUGUAUUUUUAGUAGAGACAAGGUUUUGCCAUGUUGGGCAGGCUGGUUUUGAACUCCCAACCUCAGGUGAUCUGCCCACUUCAGCCUCCCAAAUUGCUGGGAUUACAGGCGUGAGCCACCGUGCCCAGCCACAAUGUGGUGUUUAUUAUACAGUUGGAUUGACUUAAAUACAUUCAUGGCAUUUAAAAUGAAAUUUUAAUUAUUACGAUUCCUAAAAAACAAAUGAACUAAAACUCAAUUACUUCCUUCAGAACAAAAACGUUACACUCAAAUUUCUCCCAUCAGAUCUCAUUUGGUUCAUUAAAUCUCCCUGGUGAAGAGGAUGGAUUCCAGAAACCCAGUGCCAACAAUGAAAUAUCACCCUCAUACUUGGCCCACGAGAACAUCAUAUACCAUAGUAGAGAUUUCGCCCUCCUCUUGGCCCCCGGGGGAGACUACUGUUGGCUCCUAGCACUAUCAGCUGGCUAGGAAUGUGUAUGCAACACUUCUGAAGCCUUGGAAACAUAGUACAGAAUGUACCCAUUUUAGGAUGAUUCAACUUUAUGAUUUUUCAACUUUUUGAUGGUAUAAAAGCGAUACAUAAUCAGUACAAACCAUAUACAUACCACCAUUUUUCAGUACAGUACUCAUUACAUGUGUCAACACUUUAUUAUAAGAUAGGUUUUAUGUUAGAUGAUAACACCAGCAUCUUGCUCAAUAAAUUGAAGCCAGCUUUUUCAACAGAGAACAUUAUUAGAAUGAAACUAGAUGCAAGAACAGGAAAGUAAACACCUGUGUCAUGUUCAACAAGACUGAACUACGGAGCAAAGAAUCACACAGUGUUGCAAGAUCUUGAACUGACUAGAUGAUAGGAUUACAAAAACCACACAGCUAUUGCUGGAAAAUUAUGUCAUGCAGAGAACAGACUGGCACGAUUACAUAUGUGGGUUUGUCCUACACAAACCAGACCUUUAAGUGAAACAAGUCUAUCCAACCAUCUUCCCAUAAAACCUAGUUUCUAUGGAAAACAAUCAAUUAAGCUAAACCCCCACAUUUUAGAUGUAUAUUCAUUUAUAGAAGCCCAAAAGGACAGUGGGGUUACAAAUAAUUUUAUAUUUUAGAUGCUUUCAUAAUUUAAAAAGUUAACAUUACAAUUUGUGUUACUAAAAUGCAAAAACAGGAUUGGCAUGCUGCCUCAUGCCUGUAAUCUGAACAUUUUGGGAGGCUGAGGCAGGAGGACUUGAGCCCAGGAGUUCGAGCCCAGCCUAGGGAACACAGGGAAAACCCAUCUCUACGCAAGACGUAAAAACUGGCCAGCUGUGAUGGCAUGCCCCUGUAGUCUGAGCUACUUGGGAGGCUGAGGUGGGAAGAUCGCCUUGAGCCCAGGAAAUUGAGACUGGGCCAGGGAAGGGGGCAGUGGGCCAGGGAC
rnacentral:lncRNA from 1 species